AAUUAAAGAUUCCCUUUAAUCUUUCCACCAAUGUUCCCUUGCUCUUUCUCUCUUCCUAGAUGGACACGGAUCUUCUUCCCUACUCCCAAUGCCUGAAACCCAGGAUUCUUGUUUCCUUUGGAUCCUCAGACUGCCUCUCCUUUUCCCAAUGGUGGUGGGUUGAAAAAAUAUUCAUCUGCUAUAUCCCAGGUUCAGCCAUUCCAUCAGUGAGUGACAGUGGGUCAUAAAAGAAAUCAGCACAAUGCCUGGCUUACAGUAUUUGAUAGAUGCUUGUUGACGGACUGAUUGGGCAUAGCCUCGAUUCCCUAAAAACACUGAAGUAGUCAACACAUAUCUACUGACUAGAUGCCCACACUUUCAUUAACCAGAGGUAAGUUAUAUAAUGCACGGGGAGAAAUUGAAUGAAUUCCAAAAUGACUGACUGUAUGGUUCUUAUUCCCUUUCAUCAUUCCGACUUUUGAUCCUUACCCAAAGGCUUUUCUAAAAGCCUCAGAAAAGGUCUGGGUUUUAAAGAGCAGCCUGAAAUAGGAAAGUCAGGAGAGUAAUGAUAAGAAGAAGAAAGCUGGCUUUGUUGCAGAAGGAAGGCCAAGAAAAACACCCAAGAACAUGGGCAGCAGAAAAAAUCCUAGGGAGUUAUCCAAAGGCAAACUUUGAGUGAAAGGAAGAAAGAAGGAGAAGGGUAAUGAUGGAGGGAGGCAAGGGAGUUAUGGCAGUUGGAAGAAUGAUAUGAUUAUGAAGGACAAAAAAUUUGGGUUGGAUUUGUAAGAUCAGAAAUAGAGUUAUUUGUUGUUCGGUUGUUUCAGUCGUGUCUGACUCUUUGACAUCUCACAUGGGGUUUUCUUGGCAAAGACAUGACAGUGGUUUGCCAUUCCUACUCUGGCUCAUUUUACUGAUGAGGAACUAAGGAAAACAGGAUUAGAUUACUUGCCCAAGGUCACAUAUUAAGUGUCUGGGGCCAGAUUUGAAUUCAGAAAGAUAAGCCCUCCUGACUCCAGACCCAGAACUUUUAUCUACUCUUAUGUACUAUAGUGACUUUGUAAAGUCAUUUUGGAGGUAGCAUAAGGAACACUGUACAGAAAAAUGCUUAAUGCCCAGAUGCUCAUUUAUGGUGAGGAGAGUAUCAAAGAAUGAAGGGAGUAUUGAAUCACUAAACUGAAGUUCCCCUCCAUCAGGCACAACCCCCUGCCUGCAGUCAAAACUACCUAACCAUCUUGGUCACUCCUUAGAGUCUCAGCAA
rnacentral:lncRNA from 1 species